UUGGAUUUUCAAACUCCACCAAAUUCACCCCGCCAAUGUUCCCUCUUCCUAAAACCCUCAAAUUCUCAAAUCUUCCCUCUUCCUAAGAAUUUACAAAUUCUGUAACUCACUCCCACCUUCCUUAACGUACACAUUCCACCCCUUUCUUCCCUUUUGACCCAACCAAUUUCUAGGGUUUUUAUGUUUUUUAUGAAAUGUGGGUACCUUGGCCGGCUAAUCGGAGACGAAUGUACCACCACCGCCGGUGAAGUUGGCUGACUCUUUCUCUCUCAUGCGUAGUUUGGCCAUGUCGGAUUUGACUCAUUUGUGAGAUUGGAUGGUUACAAGAGGACGAUUGGUGGCCAUUUUUGCUGUAGAGAGAACAAGGGGGCUAGGGUUUGGGCAAAAAUAAUAUAUCGUAAGCUUCGAAGUCAGCUCUACAGACCUUGUCAUAGCGCAAUAUUAGUGUUACUGUCGCAAAUUGAAAACCAACCAUGUGCCACGAAAACAAAGCUAUAGCUCCGUCGGCAGCCGCGACCUCACCACCACCGCCGCCAACCUCACUCGCACCCUGAUUUGGUUUCACCCUACCGAUUCAUGAUGUACGAUUUGCGAUGGAAGGACCGCUGGAAGUCGUUCUGGUUUCAGGCUGUAAUGCAAAUUGAUGUUUGUCAAUAUGAAGGAACUCGCCGACGUUUGCAGAGAAUUAAUAGCAAAAAGUAGGGGGCUGACUUGGUGACCUUCAAUUCACAUCCUACAACUAUUAUAUAUACUCCUAAAAGUGGAUGGGAUGGUUUGUAAAUAUUGAUUAUUUUGCAUGUUUGGAAUUAAUUAUUCUAUAUCCUUAGUUUAUUCUACAAUGAAGAAUCUCUGCGGCUUUUCUCAUUGCGGCUUGCAUUUACAACGUCUGUAGCACCUUUGGGUUUUAGCACAUACAUAAUCUCUAGCGCAAAUAAACCAGACUCAUGGAAGCGUUCCAAACACACUAGUAGCAAGUUGUGAUGUAGUGAAGCCAAAAGUUGUUGCAGCUGAACACAUAUCUCAGAUCAACGAGGAAGCACACUCUUCGUUUGUAAAGAAGUAGAAAACUAUAAUGUGAUGGCAGUUGUAACAUCAAAUAUUUGAGGUCCGUAUUAUUUUUGGUUAAUUCGUAUUAAGAUCAGAUCUUUAAUUGCGUGGCAGUUGUAACAUCAAAUAUUUGAGGUGCUUAUAGGACAUGCUGACAAUGCAGAAUUCGCUCUUAUAAUCUGCCCAACUGAACCUUAUGUACUCUUUGGAGGGAGCUGAAUUUGAAGCCAAAUUCGGGAAGCUUGUUGAACUCAGGUUCAGCAGAGAUGCAGUUAUACAAGCUCUGAAGCUUUUUGAUGGUUGAUCCAAAAUUUGAUUUGGAUAUUAAUUAAGAUGAUGCGGAAGACGAGUGUUCCAACUAUAGAUGGGUCAAGCAUAUAUAUGUUGACAAGUAUGUGUUCAAGCCCUUUAUCUCAGUCUAAUAGGAUGAACAUCUGUUAGAUGUGCAAAUUACCAUAACAUGGGAUCUACAAGUAGCAUGAAUAAAACACUUGGGAAGAUUAUACAACAUCAGAACUGGUCACCAGUUACAAGUUUACUCCCCACCAGAAGAGCGGUAAUGUGGCUACGAACCCAUGGAUGCAAAUUUGCAGCACUUUUAGGUCUAAAAUAGUGAGUAUAUGGACUUGAAGAAAACAGUCUGGAAAUAGUUUCUAGUUUAUGUGUAAAGUCAUUUUUCUGUGCAACAUUUGUAUAGAUAGGUUUUGAUUAGAAGUUAAUGUUUUUAGUUAGUAUUAGUAUCUAAAUUGAAAACUUAUGUAUGGGUAUUUGGUUAUUAUUGUUAAUAGCAUUUGGUUUUUAGUUUUCUC
rnacentral:lncRNA from 1 species